rnacentral:lncRNA from 1 species
CAAUCACAAAUAACAUACAACAAUCAUUACAGGAAGUAUUGAAACUGACAAUAUAAAUGGUUGAAGAGGAGUUGAGUAGCUCCAGUAGAUUUGAUAGCUUCAAGAAGAGAAGAAAUACAAUCAGUAGACCUUUUGGUGACAAGAGAAGUGCCAAGUGUCCUCAAAGAGAGAUCAAGAUGGGCCAAACUCUACUUAAGUCACCACCUUGACACCCUUCCGUGAUGGUAAUGCCCUUCUUCCUCAGGUGCCCAUAUAAAUAAUGCCACCACUGCUCCUACCCUUACUCCGACAGCUAAUUCUGGAUUAUCUUCCACUCUCAGAUCUCUCCUAAACCAUACAAUACUGCAUCCCCCACCUAGCAUCCCUUAAAUGUUUGAAAAAAUGCCACAAAGAGCUAAAGCACUUUCUAUCUCAGCUACCUACAAGCCAUUAUUGAAGCUUCAUAUGGGUUUUAACUAGUCUUAUCCUUUCUGAGUGUUCAUCAAUUAACACUUCAGAUCAUCAGUGUUAAUGACUGCAUCUUUU